UACGAAGGGGGGCUAGCGUUGCUCGGAUUGACUGGGCGUAAAGGGCGCGUAGGCGGUUCGUACAGUCAGACGUGAAAUUCCUGGGGCUCAACCUGGGGGGCUGCGUUUUGAUACGUGCGGACUUGAGUGCGGAAGAGGGUCGUGGAAUUCCCAGUGUAGAGGUGAAAUUCGUAGAUAUUGGGGAAGAACACCCGGUGGCGAAGGCGGCACU
rnacentral:rRNA from 1 species